UGGGGUCUGCGAGGGGAAUACAAAAGCAACAAACGAAAUGUAAGUAGUGUUUGAAUGAAGCUGAAUGUCGUCUAACAUUUACGGAAAACUACCCGUCCUAGGCGUAUGGGCGCUAUGGGGUUCCUGUUUUUAUCUUUUCGUGGCGUAUAAUAUGAUCGGGGAGCGAGGGACUAGAAAUAGGCAAAAAAUUGGGGAAGUGCUUGGGCUGAUUCCACCAGAAAGACAUCUACCAUCAACCGAAUCGACACUAGAAGCCUCUACCUAUGAUCCAAGGGAUGGUAUUAAAGGCAAACCCCAGCAAGGAAACGGAUAGAGACCUUGCAUGCUACAAGGGUCCGCAUGUUUGUGAAAGUAGGGUAAUUCAAUUUUAUACAAUUCAGAAAUAGCUUUGGUGUAUUUUUUCCCAAAGAAGAUUUCCUCUCUGUUUAGUGUUACCUUUGUUUGCAUUUCUGCAUUGUGUUACUAAAACGCCUACACUGAUGCUUUGAUGCCAAGGUCUACCAUUAGAGUACAUAGAAAACAAGGAUGGAUAGCACAUGACAAACAAUGAUUUAUAAAAAAGACAACUCAGUUCAGAGAGAAAAAGUGAAAUGACAGGAGAAAAAAAAAAGGACAAGCCCCAGUUGACAAACCAGGCAUGAAAAUUACAAGUACAAAAA